AAAUUGAAGAGUUUGAUCAUGGCUCAGAUUGAACGCUGGCGGCAGGCCUAACACAUGCAAGUCGAGCGGUAGCACGGGGGAGCUUGCUCUCUGGGUGACGAGCGGCGGACGGGUGAGUAAUGUCUGGGAAACUGCCUGAUGGAGGGGGAUAACUACUGGAAACGGUAGCUAAUACCGCAUAACCUCACAAGAGCAAAGAGGGGGACCUUAGGGCCUCUCGCCAUCAGAUGUGCCCAGAUGGGAUUAGCUAGUAGGUGAGGUAAUGGCUCACCUAGGCGACGAUCCCUAGCUGGUCUGAGAGGAUGACCAGCCACACUGGAACUGAGACACGGUCCAGACUCCUACGGGAGGCAGCAGUGGGGAAUAUUGCACAAUGGGCGCAAGCCUGAUGCAGCCAUGCCGCGUGUGUGAAGAAGGCCUUCGGGUUGUAAAGCACUUUCAGCGGGGAGGAAGGC
rnacentral:rRNA from 1 species